UUCCAGACUCCUACGGGAGGCAGCAGUGGGGAAUAUUGCACAAUGGGGGAAACCCUGAUGCAGCGACGCCGCGUGAGUGAAGAAGUACUUCGUUAUGUAAAGCUCUAUCAGCAGGGAAGAAAAUGACGGUACCUGAGUAAGAAGCCCCGGCUAACUACGUGCCAGCAGCCGCGGGAAUACGUAGGGGGCAAGCGUUAUCCGGAUUUACUGGGUGUAAAGGGGGCGCAGACGGCGAUGCAAGCCAGGAGUGAAAGCCCGGGGCCCAACCCCGGGACUGCUCUUGGAACUGCGUGGCUAGAGUGCAGGAGGGGCAGGCGGAAUUCCUGGUGUAGCGGUGAAAUGCGGAGAUAUCAGGAGGAACCCCGGUGGCGAAGGCGGCCUGCUGGACUGCAAAUGACGUUGAGGCCCGAAAGCGUGGGGAGCAAACAGGAUUAGAUACCCCUGUA
rnacentral:rRNA from 1 species